rnacentral:lncRNA from 1 species
AGGAGGAGAUCUUGCUUGCUCCUGAUAAAGGGACCCCAUACAUUGAAUUUGGAACAUUCUGUGGAGGAACACUGCACUCAUACCAAGGACAAAGGCAAUUGAAGGGAGACCAUUAGAGGCAAUAGCUCUGUCUUCAUUCUCAGACUUAACCCUCCCAAUAGCACUUGGGGGCAUUUGUAGAACAGGUCACCACAGGGGUACAAGAAGAGCCUAGGGCUCUUCAGCUACAGAAUUCUGUGCUAUUCAUUUGUUCUAAUUUUUUUUCUUUCCAGGAAAAAAAAAUCUACCAACAUAUGCCUGGGGCUGAGCACAGGAAAAUGAAUAAGGAUUCCUGGAAACAGCAUUAGAAGGGGAAAGACAAACAGUAAGUGAUGAAUAAAUACAUGUCUAAUUUCUCAGGGAGACAACACUUCAGAGAAAAUGAGGUCUGAGCUAGAGAGUAAGGAACAAGAGGAUGGCUCCUCCAGAACAAGAGAUGACAAUAAACGCUGCUGUGAGGUGAUCCAUGCAAGAUGUGCUCAGACCCCAAGACCUUCUGCCAGAAAUCAGCAUGGAUGUCAUUGAUCAGCUGGUUCUUUGCCUCAUGGUGAUUGAAACCUCUGGCUAAUUGGUGAGACUUCCCUACACAACAUGUGAUCUUUCAUAUCAAGAAUAGAGGUACAAUAGGCGCUAGCUAACGGGGUCAUCAAAUCACUUUUGUUCUUGUUGCAUUGGCCAUACUAGUUUGUAUGGCCCCACCCAGGACAAAGGACUGACAAGCACAGCCAUCGCCAGUACCACGAAGAAGCAAAGUACUGGGGAAGCACAGGCCUACUGGUUCUGUGCAGAGGCUGUAGCCAUUAUCUCAUUUGAAGCUAUGGGAUGGUGACGAUUACUUCCACAUUUUCCCUGCGUAGAGAUUCAUAAAAGGUUAUAGAUCCACUGAGGGUCACACAGAGAAGUACUUUUGUCCAUACAAAUGGCUAUUGAUCACCACCUUCUACUAGCUUGUGAGCCGCAGGAUCUGACAUUAAAACGAGACUAGACAGACAGAGCAGCCUAGAGUGUCUUUCUGCUAGGGUUUUUCAAUAGCUAAGUCAAUUUGGGAAGUCGCUCUGUGUUCUGGCAUGCCAUUUCCCCCCUGAGAAAUGAGACCAUCUGAUCAAGUUCUCUUAGAGCUUGGAAUUCCAUUUCAUGUCAUCAAAUUAAAAAAAGAAUAUAUGUCUAUUGGAGAAUUCUUUUGUGUGCUGUAUAACUGUCCUCGUAGGGGGUAGAGGAGGCUGGAGAGAUGUUCCAUUAGAAUCGUGUCCAUAUGGGAUCUUCAGCACCUUCUUUGUUCCCUCGGCCUCUGUUUCCUUUGAAGAAAGCCCCAUCUGUGAGCACACCCCACUGUGAAAGCAGCUGAUUCCUGUUGCUUUAGGAAGCCAUCCAGCAUGCCGCUUGUGUUCACCAGCCCCUUGUCUCUCUUCCGGAUCACGCUGGGAAUGGAACCUGCCAAAUCGCUUUCACCCUACACUCACCAUGAAAUGCCUGACCAGGCUGCAGAGCAGUUUAGUUAAUAAAGCAGGAGACUGCUAAGGGGGAAGCGGUUA